UCCGUAGUCGAAAGGGAAACAGCCCAGACCACCAGCUAAGGUCCCAAAAUAUAUGUUAAGUGGAAAAGGAUGUGGGGUUGCACAGACAACUAGGAUGUUAGCUUAGAAGCAGCUAUUCAUUCAAAGAGUGCGUAAUAGCUCACUAGUCGAGUGACCCUGCGCCGAAAAUGUACCGGGGCUAAAACAUAUUACCGAAGCUGUGGAUACCUUUAUAGGUAUGGUAGGAGAGCGUUCUAUGUGCGAAGAAGGUGUACCGUGAGGAGUGCUGGAGCGCAUAGAAGUGAGAAUGCCGGUAUGAGUAGCGAAAGACAGGUGAGAAUCCUGUCCACCGUAAGACUAAGGUUUCCAGGGGAAGGCUCGUCCGCCCUGGGUUAGUCGGGACCUAAGGAGAGACCGAAAGGUGUAUCCGAUGGCCAACAGGUUGAUAUUCCUGUACUAGAGUAUAUAGUGAUGGAGGGACGCAGUAGGCUAACUAAACCAGACGAAUGGAAGAGUCUGGCCAAGCAGUGAGGUGUGAUAUGAGUCAAAUGCUUAUAUCUCUAACAUUGAGCUGUGAUGGGGAGCGAAGUUUAGUAGCGAAGUUAGUGAUGUCACACUGCCAAGAAAAGCUUCUAGCGUUAAUUAUACUCUACCCGUACCGCAAACCGACACAGGUAGUCGAGGCGAGUAGCCUCAGGUGAGCGAGAGAACUCUCGUUAAGGAACUCGGCAAAAUGGCCCCGUAACUUCGGGAGAAGGGGCGCUGACUGAUAGUCAGCCGCAGUGAAUAGGCCCAAGCAACUGUUUAUCAAAAACACAGCUCUCUGCUAAAUCGUAAGAUGAUGUAUAGGGGGUGACGCCUGCCCGGUGCUGGAAGGUUAAGAGGAGUGCUUAGCGUAAGCGAAGGUAUGAAUUGAAGCCCCAGUAAACGGCGGCCGUAACUAUAACGGUCCUAAGGUAGCGAAAUUCCUUGUCGGGUAAGUUCCGACCCGCACGAAAGGCGUAAUGAUUUGGGCACUGUCUCAACGAGAGACUCGGUGAAAUUUUAGUACCUGUGAAGAUGCAGGUUACCCGCGACAGGACGGAAAGACCCCAUGGAGCUUUAC
rnacentral:rRNA from 1 species